rnacentral:rRNA from 1 species
GAUGAACGCUGGCGGCGUGCCUAAUACAUGCAAGUCGAGCGAACAGACGAGGAGCUUGCUCCUCUGACGUUAGCGGCGGACGGGUGAGUAACACGUGGAUAACCUACCUAUAAGACUGGGAUAACUUCGGGAAACCGGAGCUAAUACCGGAUAAUAUAUUGAACCGCAUGGUUCAAUAGUGAAAGACGGUUUUGCUGUCACUUAUAGAUGGAUCCGCGCCGCAUUAGCUAGUUGGUAAGGUAACGGCUUACCAAGGCAACGAUGCGUAGCCGACCUGAGAGGGUGAUCGGCCACAGUGGAACUGAGAGACGGUCCAGACUCCUACGGGAGGCAGCAGUAGGGAAUCGUCCGCAAUGGGCGAAAGCUUGACGGAGCAACGCCGCGUGAGUGAUGAAGGUCUUCGGAUCGUAAAACUCUGUUAUUAGGGAAGAACAAAUGUGUAAGUAACUAUGCACGUCUUGACGGUACCUAAUCAGAAAGCCACGGCUAACUACGU